rnacentral:rRNA from 1 species
CCUACGGGAGGCAGCAGUCGAGAAUCAUUCACAAUGGGCGCGAGCCUGAACCAGCCAAGUCGCGUGAGGGAGGACGGCCCUACGGGUUGUAAACCUCUUUUGCCGGGGAGCAACGGGCGUCACGUGUGGCGCCACUGAGAGUACCCGGAGAAAAAGCAUCGGCUAACUCCGUGCCAGCAGCCGCGGUAAUACGGAGGAUGCGAGCGUUAUCCGGAUUUAUUGGGUUAAAAGGGUGCGUAGGCGGAUCGUUAAGUCAGUGGUCAAAUUGAGGGGCUCAACCCCCUCCCGCCAUUGAAACUGGCGCUCUUGAGUGGAAGAGAGGUAUGCGGAAUGCGUGGUGUAGCGGUGAAAUGCAUAGAUAUCACGCAGAACCCCGAUGGCGAAGGCAGCAUGCCGGCUUCCGACUGACGCUGAAGCACGAAAGCGUGGGGAUCGAACAGGAUUAGAUACCCGGGUAGUC